CCAUUUUCAUAAAGAGAAGGUCAAGGCCCAAAGAGGAAACAGAAGCUCAGAGAGGCUAGAUCAUUCACUCAGCUAUAAGGGCAGGCAGCAAGGACAACACAAGCUGGCUCUAUUUUGCACAACGGGAAAAGUUGUGCAAGCUUCGCUCCCACGCCAAGCAAAGACAUCUCCGUGCAGAUGACACACAUUGUGUUCCCAGACGUGCCAGGGAAAAGAAGUGAGGCGACCACCAGCUGUGGAUAACAGAGCCAUCCCUGGAGGGCUCCAGGGCCUCACUGACCCACCAUGGGGACUUUGAACCAUUCUGGCCCUUGGCCUUGCACAGCUUAGCACUGCCAUCACCUCAUAUCAGAGAGGAAGAGACAGACUGAGAGGCAGAUGGGCCAGACCAGCCAGCCUUCCACUCUGGCUACCCUUUCAGGCUCGGCAGCAGAAUCCCCUGGAGUGCACAGGUACAGCUGGAACCCUGAGGUCCUCGGGGACCCCUCCUGGCCCACGCAGGUCAAGCUUGGAUCUGGACCCAAACAGGUUGUGACUUGAAGCGUGGCUCCCUCUUCUGGCUGUGUGGCCUGGGCUCCAUGACUGGACCUCUCUGAAGAAGGGGCAGCAGCAGUCUCUUCCUUGGAGGACCAGCACGAGGAUUCAAUGCAGUGUCAUAUGGCACAGGCCCUGGUGUGCAGUGAGCACCCAGUCGGUGUGGACCCUUUCUCAUUUUUUGGAGCUGUGUGUGUGUGAGAGAGCUCCUUAACUGAUUCUAAAGUGCCAUCUCUCUG